rnacentral:lncRNA from 1 species
CGUAUUUUAAUAUCGUUUGCUGGAAAGAAUAAAACUUGGGCUUGAGCAACCCAUCUUUAGGCCUAAUUUUUGGACCUAGUCCAUAAUUACCAAGCCCAUAAUUUAUAGGCUCAUACCCCUAACCUAAUCCCUACCCCUAUAUAAUAGUACCUAAUCCCUACAUAGACCGGGACCCCCAAAAGAUUGAAUCUGCCGUUUGUCUUCUUCCAAAAUCAAAGAAAACCUAGAGCGAGGAGAAAACAAAAGAGGCAGCCUUUAGAUUUUUGCUUCUUCAGUAGAAGAAGAACGGUCUCCAUUCCAAAAGGCUUCAACCACCCUUGAGCACCAGCAAAAACAGCUACAAAUUUGCUGAAGAAAACAGUCAAAAACUUAUCCAAAUUAUCCCCAAAUCAGCUACAAAAUACAGCCAUCAGAGAGCAGUAAAAUCUGUAGAAAAGCUGCUGAAAAAUCAGUCCAAAAACUUCAGCAAAGCAUCUCAUUUUUAGCUCCAAAAACUGCAGAAAUGCAGCAUUUUCUCCCCAAAUCGACCUCAAAUCAACUCCAAAAAAUGAGCUGAAAAUCCAGUUUAAAACCAGCCACCAUCUCCCAUGACAACCUACAGCAAAAUCAGCCCCAGUAAUAUGGAAAAAUCGCACCAAAAGCUAGCAAAACAAAGCACCCUUUUCACCCCAAAACGCAGCUGAAAAAGCAGCCUGAAGACGGUCCAAAAUACCCCAAUCGAGCCCCAAAAUAGUUGUGUUACUGCUGAAAAUCAGCCAUGAAAACAACCACAAAACCAGUCCAAUGCAAUCCCAAAAUAGCUUCAAAAUGGCCUUUGGUCACUUCAAAAUUCGGGUUUCAGCGAGGUCCGUCGAAUUUGUCAAACUCCGUUCGGGGGUCCGGUCCGCUUUCAAGUUUAGAUUAAUGGAUCUGCUAGCGCUCGAGUUUUGGUCGGCUUCCUUUCUUUAUGUACCUGUUGGAAGUUCACCAGUAUAUUAAAAAUUUAAAAGUUCCAUUCUAACUCUAUCCAUUUUAUUUUAUAUUUUGACUUUCAGAUCUUGCUUUGUUUAUGUUUGAAUAAUGCUUGGAGAGGUUCUCUAUCUACUCUAUAGCUCUAGAUGAGGGUUUUGUGUUUAUUUGUUUAAUGGAGAUUAGCUCAUGACAUUGUGAAUCUGUUUGACAAUUUUUGUGGAGUAGAUGCAUAUUUUUGUUUUUCUUAUGAAUUUGUAGUUACAUGUCGUAGGAAGGAGUUGUUUGAUUUGUUGAGUUUGAAGAAAAUAAUUUGAAAUAUGUUGAAUUUAUAAAAGAAUUCAUGUCUGCCAAUUGAUAUUUGUGAGUUAAUUUAAAACUGUUAAUGGGCCAUGUGAAGUUGAAUGUGGGUUCUAAUAUAUGCGCGAUUAAUAAACCAUUGUGACUAUGGGUACGGUUCCCAUGACAUAGUUACGGUGCCUAUUAGUUAAUAAUUAGGGUCAAACCUUUAGUUAAAAAAUAAUUAGAAUGUUUAAGCCUUCCGUAAUUAAUUAGUUAGGCUCUUAAAAGUAGAUUUGAGGCGUGCCAUAUUAAGUAAGAUAUAGUUAUGGCCCUCAAAAGCUUAGUUUGAAUUCCCUUUAAAAAUUGGAAUUGAGGUGCGCCGUGCCAAAUAAAAUCUCAAAAUUCAUGGCCCUCACUUAAUUAAUUUUAAUUCUUAGAAAUCGAGGCGUGCCAUGUAGUUGAAUUUCCAUGGCUCUCACAAAUUUAAAAUGCGUAGUUGGUUUAGGGGCGUAAUUUAAAUUACUUUCCUAAAUUUGGGUGUGCAUUUAUGUGACCCAAAUCCAAAUCUCACAAUGUUAGAUAAAAUAUGUCGGGAACCGCGGGUGCAUUUAUGUGACAUGGUUCAAAACGUGUUUUAGAUGACGUUGAAUCUUUCUUAAAAAUAAUUAAUCAAAAGCGGUUCUAAAGUUAAAAUUGUACCAUAGGCUAAAACAUGUAUUAGAAUCAGAUAAUUAGACCAAUAAUAGCAGUUGAGCGACCGUGCUAAAACCACAGAACUCAGGAAUGCCUAAUACCUUCUUCCGGGUUAACAGAAUUCCUUACCCGGAUUUCUGUGUUCGUGGACUGUAGUACAGGGUCAAUCUUUUCCUCAAUUCGGGAUUUGAAACGGUAACUUGGACACCAUAAAAUUAUCCCAAGUGGAGACUCUAGCGACUCUACUGGGGACAAGAACCCAGAAUCUCUAGUUCAGGGUUCAAGAAUUCGAGCUUAGAAUAAUUGUUAUAUUUGGCUAUAUUUAUUAUCUGAUUUUAUUACAUGUUGGGCCUAAUGUGCUAAAUGUUGCUUUUUACCGCUUUGAUAUUAUUUGAACUGUAUAUAAACUGCUACGAAACCCCUAUUUUCUCUCUUUUGAGGAGUGCACGCUGACGUGACUUCUUUCUGUUAGUGUCAUAUCCCAAAUAGAACGAGGUUCAGACAUGUUGCAAAGCCGGAUAAUCUUUUGGUUACCGGUACGCUGCCCCUCCCCCCCCCCCCCGGCUCAAGUUGUCCGAUCGGGUAAGGCAGGUCUAGAAUAAUAUAUCCAGGUUAUAAACCUAGAAGAACUCAGCCUCAUGCCGGAUCCCUAGUAUGAACGUUUGUUUGCAUCAUGUGCAUUUGACUUUGGAGACUCAAUACAGGGGUCGGGUCUAUCUAGGGCAGGUGUACCCGAAAUGAAAAGACGAUCCUGAUGCAUCUUACGUGCUACUUGUGUAUUUAUCUUUUUCGGCUUGCAUGUUGACUGGCUUCUAGAAUAGGGAAAGGAAAAAAAAGAGAAAAAAGAAAAGAAAAGAGAGUAAGAGGCAAGUAUUUGAAUUAUCCUGAAACUAUGCCAAUUUUUUUUUAAAAAAAAAAAGAAGAGAAAAAGUCAUUUCAAAAUAAGUCAUAUUUUCCUGUUCCAUCAAAACUGACGAACUAUGCGGGUCUGAUUCUCACCGGAUGUGAGAUACGUAGGCAAACCUCAUCGGUUCCGGCCCAUAAUUUUCAAAAAAUCCAAAAAUAUUUUCCAUUACUUACUUCUUUAGAAAGCCUUUCUUUUAGACCCUAAUUGUUUUUAAAAAACAUAUAUAUACAAAAAUAUUUUCUUUUAAUUUCUUCCAAAAAUUCAAAAAUAUUUUCAUUCUUCUUUCAAAAUUGAAAAGCAAAUUCAAAAUUCAAAAAUAUUUUCUUUUUUUAGAAGCAUUUUCUUUCAUAAAUUCAAAUAAAAUUCCAAAAAUAUUUUCUUUCUCCUUUAGAAGUUUCUUUCGAAAUUCCAGUAAAAAAAAUUUCAAAAAAAUAAAGUUAAUUUAUUUACUUUAUUCAUGAUCUUCCCGUACUACGCAAGAUCUGAUUCAUGUUCCCACAUGAUACGUAGGCAACCCAUAUCAGGUUCGAUCACCAAUAAAAUGAAAUGAAGAAAUGAAAAAUAUUGAUAAUAAUAAGGACUGACUGAGUUCAUUCUAACAUGUUUUGUUUUGAAUUGUGAAGAAAGUUGAGGUGGUUAGUUUGUGGUAAGCUGGAAACACAAGAUCCAAGGAAAAAUGAUAACUGACAUCGAAGUUGUUACAAGUGCUCAAGAGACUCAGGGUCAGAGGGUUCAAUAAGAGUCUAUUGUGUUUGAGAAAAAUAGAAUACUGAAACAGCAAAUGACCGAAAUGUGUCAAGCAUGGGCCAGUGGUCAAGGACAGCCUCGUCAUGAGUCACAAUUUGCUACACAGCAAGAGCAGUACCACUCUCCUGAGUACCACUCGUACUCAUUUGAUCUUCCUGCAAACAUUGAGAAGCCUGCCCGAAAGAUGGUACAGGAAGAAAUGACCCAAAGAGUGAAAAACUUAGAACAAUGGUUGAAAAAUAUGCAAGGGUUGGCAGGUCAAAAGAGUGUUGCCUUCAAAGAUCUAUGUAUGUUCCCCGAUGUACACUUGCCGCCUGGUUUCAAGACUCCCAAAUUUGAAAAGUAUGAUGAAUACGGAGAUCACAUCCCACCUGAAAAGGUAUUGCAAUCAACUGAGAGGUGCAGGAAGAAAUGAAGAAUUUUUGAUGGCUUAUUUUGGGGAAAGCCCUACGGGAGUUGCCUCCGAAUGGGUUAUGGAUCAAGAAACGUCUCACUGGUAUGUUUGGGAUGACAUGACACAUGCCUUUGUCAAACAGUUCCAAUAAAACAUUGACAUUGCCCCAGACCGCAAUUCCCUUUCAAACUUGAAGAAGAAACCAGCUGAAAGUUUCAGGGAAUAUGCCAUUAAAUGGAGAGAGCAAGCGGCCAGAGUUAAGCCACCAUGGAUGAGCACGGGUUAAUCACUGUCUUCAUUCAGGCUCAAGAGCCAGAUUAUUUUCAAAACAUGAUGUCCGCAAUGGGUAAACCCUUCUCGGAAGCAAUCAAAAUGGGGGAAAUGAUUGAGAAUGGUCUUAAGAGAGGAAAAAUUAUAAGUCAAGCAAUUCUCAAAGCCGCAACUCAGGGUGUCCCGAUUGAAUCCGAUAAUUUUAGUGACACGAAUGAGAAGCACGAAGAAAUCAUGAGGACAUCAGGGUCGAGAAGAGGUCCUAGGAGAGCAUCUCGAAGGUAUGGGCAACCUCAUCAGGUUUCCCAUGAUUCCCUUGAAUACUACUAUCCAUUUCAGAACCCUCAAUACUCUGUUGAUGCACCUCAGUAUGUUGCCCGGCCACCAAGACACCCUAGAAGACGAGCACUAGCACCACAAAAUCUCCACUAGCCUCCACAAAAUUUUUAAAUGCCCUAUAACCCACAUCUAGGCCAGGGGUAUAGAAGGGAACAAAGGCUGAAAGAUAAUUUUACACCAAUAGGAGAGUCUUAUGCAAGCUUGUUUGAGAAAUUAAAGCAGUAUGACAUGAUAUCACCUAUUCCUCCAAAUCAUGUGGGCCCCCAUGAAAGAAGCUUUGACCCUUCUAAAAGGUGUGAAUACUAUUCCAAUGCCCAGGGGCACAAUGUUGAAAGCUGUCGGGAUUUGAAAAGAGAAAUAGAAAGGAUAAUCCAGGAAAACCUGAUUGUGAUCCAAGACAGUGACACCCACAAUAUCGCGCAGAAUCAUUUACCUGAACAUGAUGAUGCACACUUUGUGGGGUUGAUGCGUGGUGACAGGGAGUGUGAGAAUCCUCUCGGGAAUUUGCUAACUGAAGUUAAUGAUUUUGAAAUUGGAGAAGGCUCUGCUGAUUCUGAUGAGCAAAUUUGUGGCUAAAUGUCAAACUUAGCAAUUGAAAAGUCAUUCCCUCCUCACUAGGAAGGAAUAUUGGUAGUUUGUUUUGAUGUUUUUUCUAUUAUGUGGGUUAUUUUAGGGUUGUGAUCCAGAUUUUAUUUGUUUUAUUUAGUCAAACCCUUCUAUCCCUCCAUCCUGUUUGUGUGAGUCUUGUCUUUCUGUUCUGUUGCUAUUUUCAUUAGCCGGGUUAUUUAGGGUUGUAACUCGGAUUUUAGGUUGUUUGUCUUGUUGUUUACUCAAUGAAAUACAGUUUGUCCUUUUGUGUCAUUCCAUGCUUAGUUCUUUUCCUGCUAGUUUUAAUGACAUGACAUGCAUGCGAAAUUUUUGCCCAGAUCUUAGAAAAUUGAUUUAAGUUUGAAUUGGACAACUGAGGAAAAUACAUUUUUGAGGAUGAAUAAAGAGUUGAAAUACUUUGGAAUUAAGGUCGAGUAAAAUUCACCUUCAAAUCAUUGUGAAGAUCGGGCUUGACUCUUGAAGAUGUUUAAUCAAUUGAAGUUUGUUAGAAAUUUUGACAUUAAGGGAUGGAAAGUGUCUUGUGACCAUGACACACCAAGAGGACAGACAUGUUCGUCAAUGCUGUAAUCGCGAAAGAUACUAUGUUUGGCACUCUCGAGGCUGGGAGGCCCUCUUUAUGCUAUCCAAACACUUUAUAUCCUUCGCUACCCCUUUUGAGCCUGUGUUAUUUUCUUUGACUACACUCUUUUGGAAUCAAGUUUAGAGUCAAGAGUCAAAAAAAAUGAAAAAAACAAAAAAAACAUCCAUGUUCCAAGAGUACAAACUGGGGCAAUUUUCAAGAAAAAAAAAUGAAAAAGAAAAGAACUGGCAAAGAUCCAUGCCCCUAGAAAAUAAAAGCUGGGGCAACCUAUUUUGAAAGAAAAAGACAAAAAAAAAGAAAAAGAAAAAAAUGAGAGAUGAAAAUAGUUAGGUCAGAUAUUUGAACUACAUUCGACCCGAUUCCUUAAAAAAGGAUACGUAGGCAGCCUGAUGGUUCGGUCCAACCAAAUAAGAAUUCAAAAAAAAAGAAAAAAAUCCAAAAAAAAUCCUCAAUAACUGAAAUGGGGCAAAGAUUUUAUUUUACUUUUGAAAGAGUCGAUUCCAAGAGUUGUAAGUCUACAACCCCCUUUAUUUUGAGUCUAUUUUGAGCCUUCAUGACGUCAUUUCUUUCCAACCCUAUCCAAAUCCUUCCAAAUAAAGACCUCCUGAUCAGCCUUCAAGAAUGCCAAGAGAAGCAUGCAAUGAGCAACAGUUGUCACACAACGUAGAACACCGUCGAGUUGCUCGCAAACAAAAGAAGAAAAAGAAAAAGAAAAAGGAAAAUGAGAGAGUUUUACUAGUGAACCCUCACGGGCAUUGUAAGGCGACGGUAAGCAGAGAUGAAUAAAUAAGAGAGACUUGUUGGUGAAAACUCCUCGGGGCACCACUAGUCGAAAGUGAGUCAUGAAGUUGAUGCAAAGGAUUGGCACGAACAAGCCCGACUUCAAAGGUCAUAGGAUUGGUAAAAGGGAAAAUUGGAUUAGUUGGAUAGAUCAGGCCGUUAAGUCCAAAAUGCAUGUCAUGAUCAUUAAGGCUAGUUAGCGCAAAAGAAAAAAAAAUGACAAAAGAAAAAAAAGCUCUUCCCAUGUUCUUCUCGACCGGAGCAUCUCUGGUUAAUACUUGUUUCUUUGCAUUUGUGUCCUUCACUCCGAGUCAGUCCUUGUCAAAACAAGCAAGAAAAGAUUUCAAAAUCUGCUACCAGCUUUUUAGUUGCAUAAAGUAAAUUUGGUCAGUACUCAAUUGUUACUGUCAAUAUACCUUGAGGAUUCAUGCAAAGGCUUCCCCAAAAAAGACUCUUGUCAGCCUGCUUGGCGCAAUCAAAGAUGACUGGUGAUUCUCUCUGACAGAUAAAUUGCUCAAAAGUAGGAAGUCAUUCAAGAUAUCAGAAAAGGUCACCUAAGCAAAGAUCUCCAGUUGGGAUGAGGCUGUUUGAGCUGCAAAUACAAAUGGUACUGGGUGUGAAACAAUCAGAGGUUGAUGCAGAGCAAAAGUCUCUUGAGACCGACUCAAGCUGAUUGAGCACAAAGACAAGCUGCUCAAAACUCAAGGCCACGAACCGACCAACAUUUUCAAAACUGACCAAUUUUUUUUGUGUGAAACAGGAACAAAGCAGUGCAAGAAAAGUAGUUCAAAAAAAAGAAAAAAACAAAAAAAGAUAAGGAAAAGAAAAGAAGAGAAGAGACUACAAAAGGAAGUUUCUCAAAUCUUUAGCUUUGUUUGUUUUGUCAUUGUGCAUAAAAUCUUGCCAUUGAUCUUUACAUUUUUCCUCCUUGGAUAGAGACCUAGUCUGAUGAAUUUUCUCCUAGGAUAGAAAUCUUAGUCUGAUGAAUUUUUCUCCUAAGAUAGAAGACCUAGUCUGAUGAAUUUUCUCCUAGGAUAGAAAUCUUAGUCUGAUGAAUAUUUCUCCUAAGAUACCAAAAAAGAGACCUAGUCUGAUGGAUUUUCUCCUAGGAUCGAAAUCUUAGUCUGAUGAAUCUUUCUCCUAAGAUAACAAAAAGAGGACCUAGUCUAAUGAACUUUCUCCUAGGAUCAAAAUCUUAGUCUGAUGAAUUUUUCUCCUAAGAUAGAAAACCUAAUCUAAUGAAUUUUCUCCUAGGAUAAACAUCUUAGUCUGAUGAAUCUUUCUCCUAAGAUAGAAAACAUAGUCUGACGAAUUUUCUCCUAGGAUAAUCUAAAAAAAAGGAAGUCUGGAUUUGAAAAAAUGGGUCAAUUUCUAGUUUUCUUAAGUAAUCAAUGUUUAGUUUUCUUGAAAUCAGGGGCCCCGCCAGGAGAAUAGGGUCAGUUUUUACUUUAGUCAAGCUUAGUUUAUAGUUUUUCGCAAGCUCAAUCACGUUUAGGAGACACACAUCCUUGUCGUGUCAUUAAUUUUACUCUCAUAAUUGCAUCCUUCAUCAGCAGCGCAGGUGAUUUAUAGUUUUGUUAAUACUCACAGAUGUUCCCAAUAUCAAACUGGGGUAGGAAAAUUUCUUUUGUUUUGUUGUAAUCAGCGCCCACCUGAAGAACAAGAGAAGACAACUCAAGUUUCAAGGGAAAACAGUGGUCAAAGGAAGACGGUUCAAGUUCAGCAAUUAGGAGCCUACCUAGAGAAUAAGAGAAUUCACUUCAGAAUACAAUUCAAGUUAGCAACAAAAGAAACUCGUGGCAAGAAUGUGAGUCAACAGUCCGAGAUGAUCAACAAAAGUUAGUCACAAUAAAGAAAAAAAGAAAGGCAAGAAGUUAAUUCAAAGGCAAAAGUUGAUGAAAGAUAUGGGCUGCUCAAGACAUGACCGAGGUCACAAGCACUGCAUGCUUGGUCUUGAUUCAAAAAGCUGAAGAAGGAUGAACUAGCACCUGCAACUAGCAAGCGUCAAGGUUCAAAUCUAAAGUCUGCAUGAAGAACCACUCAAGACUCAAGAUGAAGCUUCAGAAGACUUAUAGAUAGGAAUCUUGUAACUCGUAGUUGACAGACUUAGCUAGUCUUUUUGAUGUUUUGAUUUUUGAUGUAAUAAUGGGACGGCAGACUGGAACCUCGGCGGAACGACACCUCGACUGGCUCUCCACCUCGGCAUACUAUAUCAUCUCAUUCACCUCUGAACUACACGUGGUCUGAUUCCUUUAUAGCCAAGGAUAUGUACGCAACUCAGAUACCAGGGCUCGGUCACAUUCCCUUUUCCUCUUAGUUUUAGUCUCUCCAAAUAAGAGUCGGGUCAAAAAACCUAUCUAGUCGUUCUUUGUCUAAAAACUCUUCGCGUUUCCAGUCAAGAUCGGCAGUUGUAGACAUGUGAUUUUUGACCAUCCCCAAGGUUUUUCAUAUUUAACAAGUAAAUAUUUAAUUUAGGCCUAAUAUAGCUAUUUCAACUCAUUUUUACUCUUUUACUUUAUUUUAUUUCAAGAAAAUUAAAAUUAUUAGAAAUUGUUCCAUUAAUGUUUUGUAGUCAUUUUUAAUCUUGAAAAAAUACAAAAAAAUAGUUUAUUUUAACGGUGAGUCUUUUUUAACAGUUAUUUUACUUUAGUAGGACUAAUUAAUAAAUGAGAUCGUAUUUUAAUCUCGUUCGCAAGGAAAGAAUAAAACUUGGGCUCGAGCAACCCAUCUUUAGGCCUAAUUUUUGGACCUAGUCCAUAAUUACCAAGCCCAUAAUUCCUAGGCCCAUAUCCCUAACCUAAUCCCUACCCCUAUAUAAUAGUACCUAAUCCCGACAUAGACGGGGACCCCCAAAAGAUUGAAUCCGUUGUUUGUCUUCUUCCAAAAUCAAAGAAAACCUAGAGCGAGGAGAAAACAAAAGAGGCAGCCUUCAGAUCUUUUGCUUCUUCAGCAGAAGAAGAACGGUCUCCAUUCCAAAAAGCUUCAACCACCCUUGAGCACCAGUGAAAAUAGUUACAAAUUUGCUGAAGAAAACAGUCAAAAACUGAUCCAAAUUAUCCCUAAAUCAACUACAAAAUACAGCCAUUAGAGAGCAGUAAAAUCAGUUGAAAAGCUGCUGAAAAAUCAGUUCAAAAAUUUCAGCAAAGCAUCUCAUUUUUAGCUCCAAAAACUGUAAAAAACGCAGCAGUUUCUCCCCAAAAUCGACCUCAAAUCAGCUCCAAAAAUGAGCUGAAAAUCCAGUUUAAAACUAGCCACCAUCUCCCAUGACAACCUGCUGCAAAAUCAGCCCCAUUAAUAUGGAAAAAUCGCACCAAAAGCUAGCAAAACAAAGCACCCUUUCCACCCCAAAACGCAGCUGAAAAAGCAGCCUGAAGGCAGUCCAAAAAUCACCCCAAUCUAGCCCCAAAAUAGUUGUGUUACUGCUGAAAAUCAGCCAUGAAAACAACCACAAAACCAGUCCAAUGCAAUCCCAAAAUAGCUUCAAAAUGGCCUUUGGUCACUUCAAAAUUCGGGUUUCAGUGAGGUCCGUCGAAUUUGUCAAACUUCGUUCGGGGGUCCGGUCCGCUUUCAAGUUUAGAUUAAUGGAUCUGCUAGCGCUCGAGAUUUGGUCGGCUUUCUUUCUUUAUGUACCUGUUGGAAGUUCACCAAUAUAUUAAAAAUUUAAAGGUUCCAUUCUAACUCUACCCAUUUUAUUUUAUAUUUUGACUUUCAGAUCUUGCUUUGUUUAUGUUUGAAUAGUGCUUGGAGAGGUUCUCUAUCUACUCUAUAGCUCUAGAUGAGAGUUUUGUCUUUAUUUGUUUAAUGGAGAUUAGCUCAUGACAUUGUGAAUCUGUUUGCAAAUUUUUGUGGAGUAGAUGCAUAUUUUUGUUUUUCUCAUGAAUUUGUAGUUACAUGUCGUAGGAAGGAAUUGUUUGAUUUGUUGAGUUUGAAUAAAAUAAUUUAAAAUAUGUUGAAUUUAGAAAAGAAUUCAUGUCUGCCAAUUGAUAUCUGUGAGUUAAUUUAAAAUUGUUAAUGGGCCACGUGAAGUUGAAUGUGGGUUCUAAUAUAGGCGCGAUUAAUAAACCAUUGUGACUAUGGGUACGGUUCCCAUGACAUAGUUACGAUGCCUAUUAGUUAAUAAGUAGGGUCAAACCUUUAGUUAAAAAAUAAUUAGAAUGUUUUAAGCCCUCCUUAAUUAAUUAGUUAGACUCUUAAAAUUAGAUUUGAG